GCCUGGGUGGCUGAGUCGGUUAAGCGUCUGACUCUGGCUCAGGUCAUGAUCUCGCGGUUCGUGAGUUCGAGCCCCGCGCCGGGCU
rnacentral:tRNA from 1 species